CGGAUCCCAUUAUGCCGAUCGCCUCGACCUCCACUUCGCGGCUCUUCGAAGCGGCGCAGACGCCGCUUUUGGCGUGGUGUUGCCUGCCUGCUUUCUCCUGCAUCCGUGCACGCACCGCACUGAAUCAAGCCGCCCCCUCCCCCCUCCUCGGCCUCCGGCCGCUGCUUGCAUCGUCUUUGUGCACGUUUUCUUUGGUUUGUUGAGCCCCGCGAACCAAACUUUCACCGGCUCUCUCUCUCUCCUCCUCUUCGCCUCCCCGCCCUUCCAAGCCUCCCACACCUUUCCGUGUGCCUUCUUCAACUGCCAUCCACAUAAGCGACUUUCAACCGGCUCGGUGCCUCUCUGCCAGUUACAGAUGUAUGUGUGUAUUCGAUGGUGAAACGAGGGAGGAGGGAAGGGCGCGUACUGGGCAUGGGAUGCCGGAUGCCGAACUCUCGCCCACUUGCGCGCUCUCCUCAUUGCCGUCUCCUCUCCUUUCCUCCUGAAGCGAGCACGUGCGUGCGCGACAGUCCCUGCGCGAGUCUUUGCUUGCCGCGAAAUCUUCUUAUUCUUUGUGUGCCGAUCGUGGUGCCCCUCACUCGAGGCAUAACCCUGCCACGAUAUCAGGGGAAAGGACCGAGAGUUCUAUGUUCAAUCGAGGCGCAGUGUGUAUUCGACCUGUCAGUGUCACUUGCAGUUUCCAUCCACUGUGCGAAAGUGCCCCUGCCACCGUAGUGGACCUCAUGGGCGGCCCCUUCUCUCUCUCCCUCUCCCGUGAUGUUCAUUGUCCUAGCCUCCAGAGGAAGGCCCCGCUC
rnacentral:misc_RNA from 1 species